UAUAUAGGUCCAUAAAAGUCUGCAAAGAAUACGAGAGCGAAAAUUGGCCAACUUCAUACCGUGGGGACCAGGCAGUAUUCAGGUGGCAUUGUCACGGAAGUCUCCAUACCUGCCAUCAGCUCACCGUGUCAGUGGGCUUAUGAUGGCCAAUCAUACCAGCAUCUCCUCAUUGUUUGAAAGAACCAGCAGACAGUAUGAUAAACU